UGUCACACGCAGAGACCGCACUGGAGC
rnacentral:piRNA from 1 species